UUCGGGGGGCGAGGGUGACAGGUGGUGCAUGGUUGUCGUCAGCUCGUGUCGUGAGAUGUUGGGUUAAGUCCCGCAACGAGCGCAACCCUCGACCUUAGUUGCCAGCAUUCAGUUGGGCACUCUAAGGUGACUGCCGGCUAAAAGUCGGAGGAAGGUGGGGAUGACGUCAAAUCAUCAUGCCCCUUAUGACCUGGGCUACACACGUGCUACAAUGGGCGGUACAAAGGGUCGCGAACCCGCGAGGGGGAGCCAAUCCCAAAAAGCCGCUCUCAGUUCGGAUUGCAGGCUGCAACUCGCCUGCAUGAAGCCGGAAUCGCUAGUAAUCGCGGAUCAGCAUGCCGCGGUGAAUACGUUCCCGGGCCUU
rnacentral:rRNA from 1 species